rnacentral:rRNA from 1 species
AGAGUUUGAUCCUGGCUCAGGACGAACGCUGGCGGCGCGCCUAACACAUGCAAGUCGAACGGAGCUUAGAGAGCUUGCUUUUUAAGCUUAGUGGCGAACGGGUGAGUAACGCGUGAGUAACCUGCCCUAGAGUGGGGGACAACAGUUGGAAACGACUGCUAAUACCGCAUAAGCCCACGGUGCCGCAUGACACUGAGGGAAAAGGAUUUAUUCGCUUUAGGAUGGACUCGCGUCCAAUUAGCUAGUUGGUGAGGUAACGGCCCACCAAGGCGACGAUUGGUAGCCGGACUGAGAGGUUGAACGGCCACAUUGGGACUGAGACACGGCCCAGACUCCUACGGGAGGCAGCAGUGGGGGAUAUUGCACAAUGGGGGAAACCCUGAUGCAGCGACGCCGCGUGGAGGAAGAAGGUUUUCGGAUUGUAAACUCCUGUCGUUAGGGACGAUAAUGACGGUACCUAACAAGAAAGCACCGGCUAACUACGUGCCAGCAGCCGCGGUAAAACGUAGGGUGCAAGCGUUGUCCGGAAUUACUGGGUGUAAAGGGAGCGCAGGCGGGAAGACAAGUUGGAAGUGAAAACCAUGGGCUCAACCCAUGAAUUGCUUUCAAAACUGUUUUUCUUGAGUAGUGCAGAGGUAGAUGGAAUUCCCGGUGUAGCGGUGGAAUGCGUAGAUAUCGGGAGGAACACCAGUGGCGAAGGCGGUCUACUGGGCACCAACUGACGCUGAGGCUCGAAAGCAUGGGUAGCAAACAGGAUUAGAUACCCUGGUAGUCCAUGCCGUAAACGAUGAUUACUAGGUGUUGGAGGAUUGACCCCUUCAGUGCCGCAGUUAACACAAUAAGUAAUCCACCUGGGGAGUACGACCGCAAGGUUGAAACUCAA